GGUAUUAACGGGUAACGGGGAAUUAGGGUUCUAUUCCGGAGAGGGAGCCUGAGAAACGGCUACCACAUCCAAGGAAGGCAGCAGGCGCGCAAAUUACCCAAUGCUAAUUCAGCGAGGUAGUGACAAUAAAUACUGAUACGGGACUCUUUCGGGUCUCGUAAUUGGAAUGAGUACAAUCUAAAUCCCUUAACGAGGAACAAUUGGAGGGCAAGUCUGGUGCCAGCAGCCGCGGUAAUUCCAGCUCCAAUAGCGUAUAUUAAAGUUGUUGCCGUUAAAAAGCUCGUAGUUGAACCUUGGACCUGGCUGAUCUGUCCUCCUAAUCGAGCGCACGGAUUCGGUCGGGUCUUUCCUUCUGGGGAGCCCUAUGCCCUUCACUGGGUGUAGUGGGGAACCAGGACUUUUACCUUGAAAAAAUUAGAGUGUUCAAAGCAGGCCUUUGCUCGAAUACAUUAGCAUGGAAUAAUAGAAUAGGACAUCGGUUCUAUUUUGUUGGUUUCUAGGACCGCUGUAAUGAUUAAUAGGGAUAGUCGGGGGCGUCAGUAUUCAAUUGUCAGAGGUGAAAUUCUUGGAUUUAUUGAAGACUAACUACUGCGAAAGCAUUCGCCAAGGAUGUUUUCAUUAAUCAGUGAACGAAAGUUAGGGGAUCGAAGACGAUCAGAUACCGUCGUAGUCUUAACCAUAAACUAUGCCGACUAGGGAUCGGACGGUGGUUUUUUUAUGCCCCGUUCGGCACCUUACGAGAAAUCAAAGUUUUUGGGCUCGGGGGGGAGUAUGGUCGCAAGGCUGAAACUUAAAGAAAUUGACGGAAGGGCACCACCAGGCGUGGAGCCUGCGGCUUAAUUUGACCCAACACGGGGAAACUCACCAGGUCCAGACAUGCUUAGGAUUGACAGAUUGAUAGCUCUUUCUUGAUUGUAUGGGUGGUGGUGCAUGGCCGUUCUUAAUUGGUGGAGUGAUUUGUCUGCUUAAUUGCGAUAACGAACGAGACCUUGACCUGCUAAAUAGCCAGGUUGACUUUUGUCGGCCGCCGGCUUCUUAGAGGGACUUUUGGCUCAAGCCAAUGGAAGUACGAGGCAAUAACAGGUCUGUGAUGCCCUUAGAUGUUCUGGGCCGCACGCGCGCUACACUGACAGAGCCAGCGAGUACAUCACCUUGGCCGAAAGGUCUGGGUAAUCUUGUUAAACUCUGUCGUGCUGGUGAUAGAGCAUUGCAAUUAUUGCUCUUCAACGAGGAAUGCCUAGUAAGCGCAAGUCAUCAGCUUGCGUUGAUUACGUCCCUGCCCUUUGUACACACCGCCCGUCGCUACUACCGAUUGAAUGGCUCAGUGAGGCCUUGGGACUGGCUCAGAGAGGUCGGCAACGACCACUCAGAGCCGGAAACUUGUUCAAACUUGGUCAUUUAGAGGAGGUAAAAGUCGUAACAAGGUUUCCGUAGGUGAACCUGCGGAAG
rnacentral:rRNA from 1 species